CCUACGGGUGGCAGCAGUGGGGAAUAUUGCACAAUGGGCGCAAGCCUGAUGCAGCCAUGCCGCGUGUGUGAAGAAGGCCUUCGGGUUGUAAAGCACUUUCAGCGGGGAGGAAGGCGUUAAGGUUAAUAACCUUGUCGAUUGACGUUACCCGCAGAAGAAGCACCGGCUAACUCCGUGCCAGCAGCCGCGGUAAUACGGAGGGUGCAAGCGUUAAUCGGAAUUACUGGGCGUAAAGCGCACGCAGGCGGUCUGUCAAGUCGGAUGUGAAAUCCCCGGGCUCAACCUGGGAACUGCAUUCGAAACUGGCAGGCUAGAGUCUGGUAGAGGGGGGUAGAAUUCCAGGUGUAGCGGUGAAAUGCGUAGAGAUCUGGAGGAAUACCGGUGGCGAAGGCGGCCCCCUGGACAAAGACUGACGCUCAGGUGCGAAAGCGUGGGGAGCAAACAGGAUUAGAUACCCCAGUAGUC
rnacentral:rRNA from 1 species